CGCCCCUCGCCCGCCCGCUUCUCAGAGGUAAAAAAAGUGACAAAAGAAAUACCAUUGGCGGGGGUUGUCUUCCUCAUGCAGCCGCUGAUAAGAAUUACACUUGUCACCCCUUCAAUAUUCACCCCUCGUUUUCUUUCACAAGCAGCGUAGCGAUAUGGCUGUUUUUUUUUCCUAAAAGAGUGGACUGUGCUGAAAGUCUGUCAUUUUAAUUACUUUGACGGGGGUCUUGUUAGGUUAGGUGAGGAAAGGUUACAUGGAGUGAAGUAAUUAAGGUAAGGUAAGGUAAAGUAAGGGCUUAUAGGCAAAUGUAAGGUGGGAUUAGGUCCGGUUAAGUACGAUAAGGAUAGGGUAGGAUUGAGGACAGGACAGGACAGGACAGGACAGGGUAGGGUAGGGUAGGGUAGGGUUGAGGUGAGGUGAGGUGAAGCAAGGCAAUUCAAGGCCCCCUAACCUAACUUGGUCCAAUAAUAAGUGACAAACUCCCACACAAUUCUCAAUUUUAAUCAAUCGGUAUAAUUUCAAAGCGACCCCUUCAACAGAAAACGGAGAAAGAACAGCGGGCCAGCAGCACCCUGGCUUAUAAAGGAGUACUGUAGGCUACCGGAACCCGUUUUCUUCCCGUCACUGUGAAGGGGAGACCCGCAGAAAACGAGAGAUUCUUGUAAAGACAAAAUAUUGAAAAAAAAUAUAUAUAUGUAAAUAAAAAAAAAGCAUAGUUUGGGUUACGAUCUUACUGCUUCUUGGCCUUUGUUUGUUUGUUUGUUUGUUUGUUUGUUUGUUUGUUUGGGCUGGAAAACACACAUACAAACAUACACAUACACACACAAGCUUAGUUAAGAAAUGAAGCACAACCUUACGUACAGACACGCACACACACACACGCAUACAUGUGUACAUACAUUCAAACAUACACAUUAUUAAAAAAUGCCAAAAUAUU